GAUGAACGCUGGCGGCGUGCCUAACACAUGCAAGUCGAGCGAUCUUCUUCGGAAGAGAGCGGCGGACGGGUGAGUAACGCGUGGGUAACCUGCCCUGUACACACGGAUAACAUACCGAAAGGUAUGCUAAUACGGGAUAACAUACUUUUAUCGCAUGGUAGAAGUAUCAAAGCUCCGGCGGUACAGGAUGGACCCGCGUCUGAUUAGCUAGUUGGUAAGGUAACGGCUUACCAAGGCGACGAUCAGUAGCCGACCUGAGGGGGUGAUCGGCCACAUUGGAACUGAGACACGGUCCAAACUCCUACGGGAGGCAGCAGGGGGGAAUAUUGCACAAUGGGCGAAAGCCUGAUGCAGCAACGCCGCGUGAGCGAUGAAGGCCUUCGGGUCGUAAAGCUCUGUCCUCAAGGAAGAUAAUGACGGUACUUGAGGAGGAAGCCCCGGCUAACUACGUGCCAGCCGCCGCCGUAAAAC
rnacentral:rRNA from 1 species